CCUGGUUGAUUCUGCCAGUAGUCAUAUGCUUGUCUCAAAGAUUAAGCCAUGCAUGUCUAAGUAUAAGCAAUUAUACAGCGAAACUGCGAACGGCUCAUUAUAUAAGUUAUCGUUUAUUUGAUAGUACCCUACUACUUGGAUAACCGUGGUAAUUCUAGAGCUAAUACAUGCUAAAAAUCCCAACUUCGGAAGGGAUGUAUUUAUUAGAUUAAAAACCAAUGCCCUCCGGGCUUACUGGUGAUUCAUGAUAACUCCUCGAAUCGCAUGGCCUUGCGCCGGCGAUGGUUCAUUCAAAUUUCUUCCCUAUCAACUUUCGAUGUUUGGGUAUUGGCCAAACAUGGUUGCAACGGGUAACGGAGGGUUAGGGCUCGACCCCGGAGAAGGAGCCUGAGAAACGGCUACUACAUCCAAGGAAGGCAGCAGGCGCGCAAAUUACCCAAUCCCGACACGGGGAGGUAGUGACAAUAAAUACUGAUACAGGGCUCUUUUGGGUCUUGUAAUUGGAAUGAGUACAAUUUAAAUCCCUUAACGAGGAACAAUUGGAGGGCAAGUCUGGUGCCAGCAGCCGCGGUAAUUCCAGCUCCAAUAGCGUAUAUUAAAGUUGUUGUGGUUAAAAAGCUCGUAGUUGAACCUUGGGCCUGGCUGGCCGGUCCGCCUCACCGCGUGCACUGGUCCGGCCGGGCCUUUCCCUCUGUGGAACCCCAUGCCCUUCACUGGGUGUGGCGGGGAAACAGGACUUUUACUGUGAAAAAAUUAGAGUGCUCCAGGCAGGCCUAUGCUCGAAUACAUUAGCAUGGAAUAAUAGAAUAGGACGUGUGGUUCUAUUUUGUUGGUUUCUAGGACCGCCGUAAUGAUUAAUAGGGACAGUCGGGGGCAUCAGUAUUCAAUUGUCAGAGGUGAAAUUCUUGGAUUUAUUGAAGACUAACUACUGCGAAAGCAUUUGCCAAGGAUGUUUUCAUUAAUCAGGAACGAAAGUUAGGGGAUCGAAGACGAUCAGAUACCGUCGUAGUCUUAACCAUAAACUAUGCCGACUAGGGAUCGGACGGUGUUAUA
rnacentral:rRNA from 1 species